rnacentral:rRNA from 1 species
GAUGAACGCUGGCGGCGUGCCUAAUACAUGCAAGUCGAGCGAACAGACGAGGAGCUUGCUCCUCUGACGUUAGCGGCGGACGGGUGAGUAACACGUGGAUAACCUACCUAUAAGACUGGGAUAACUUCGGGAAACCGGAGCUAAUACCGGAUAAUAUAUUGAACCGCAUGGUUCAAUAGUGAAAGACGGUUUUGCUGUCACUUAUAGAUGGAUCCGCGCCGCAUUAGCUAGUUGGUAAGGUAACGGCUUACCAAGGCAACGAUGCGUAGCCGACCUGAGAGGGUGAUCGGCCACACUGGAACUGAGACACGGUCCAGACUCCUACGGGAGGCAGCAGUAGGGAAUCUUCCGCAGUGGGCGAAAGCCUAACGGAGCAACGCCGCGUGAGUGAUGAAGGUCUUCGGAUCGUAAAACUCUGUUAUUAGGGAAGAACAAAUGUGUAAGUAACUAUGCACGUCUUGACGGUACCUAAUCAGAAAGCCACGGCUAACUACGU